GACGAACGCUGGCGGCGUGCUUAACACAUGCAAGUCGAACGGAAAGGCCCUGCUUUUGUGGGGUGCUCGAGUGGCGAACGGGUGAGUAACACGUGAGUAACCUGCCCUUGACUUUGGGAUAACUUCAGGAAACUGGGGCUAAUACCGGAUAGGAGCUCCUGCUGCAUGGUGGGGGUUGGAAAGUUUCGGCGGUUGGGGAUGGACUCGCGGCUUAUCAGCUUGUUGGUGGGGUAGUGGCUUACCAAGGCUUUGACGGGUAGCCGGCCUGAGAGGGUGACCGGCCACAUUGGAACUGAGAUACGGCCCAGACUCCAACGGGAGGCAGCAGUGGGGAAUAUUGCACAAUGGGCGGAAGCCUGAUGCAGCAACGCCGCGUGCGGGAUAACGUCCUUCGGGUUGUAAACCAAUUUCGCCUUUAACGAAGCGUGAGUGACGGUAAUGGGUAAAGAAGCACCGGCUAACUACGUG
rnacentral:rRNA from 1 species